rnacentral:rRNA from 1 species
UACGUAGGGACCAAGCGUUGUUCGGAUUUACUGGGCGUAAAGGGCGCGUAGGCGGCAAUUCAAGUCAGUUGUGAAAUCUCCGAGCUUAACUCGGAACGGUCAACUGAUACUGCUUUGCUAGAGUACAGAAGGGGCAAUCGGAAUUCUUGGUGUAGCGGUGAAAUGCGUAGAUAUCAAGAGGAACACCUGAGGUGAAGACGGGUUGCUGGGCUGACACUGACGCUGAGGCGCGAAAGCCAGGGGAGCAAACGGG